ACCCAAGCUGAUUCCCUCUUCCAAGGGGCUAUUGGUGCCCCUCUUCAGGAAAGUAGCAACUUGGAAUAAUAAAAUCUGGCAUGCUUCAGGACUCCGGAGAAGAGAGGCUGCUGCUUUUCCUUCCUUUGGCUGCCAACAUGU
ensembl:snoRNA